GUGACCGCUGGCGGCGUGCCUAACACAUGCAAGUCGAGCGAAGUGGUAGCUGUAGCAAUACAGUAUAUGCCUUAGCGGCAGACGGGUGAGUAACACGUAGAUAACUUACCUCUUAGCGGGGGAUAGCCCACCGAAAGGUGGGGUAAUACCGCGUACGAUCAAGAUUCGGCAUCGAGUUUUGAUGAAAUAUCCGCAAGGAUAGCUAAGAGAAAGAUCUGCGGCCUAUCAGCUAGUUGGCGGGGGGUAACGGCCCACCAAGGCAACGACGGGUAUCCGACCUGAAGGGUGACCGGACACACUGACACUGAGACACGGGUCAGACUCCUACGGGGAGGCAGCAGUGAGGAAUUUUGGACAAUGGGGGCAACCCUGAUCCAGCGACGCCGCGUGAAGGAUGAAGGUCUUCGGAUUGUAAACUUCUUUUAUUUGGGACUAAGAAAACAUUAGAAAUAGUGUGAGUGAAUGUACCAAGUGAAUAAGCCACGGCUAACUUCGUGCCAAGCAGCCGCGGGUAAUACGAAGGUGGCAAGCGUUACUCGGAAUUACUAGGCGUAAAGGGCAGGUAGGUGGUUUGGUUAGUCUGUUGUGAAAGCUCCCGGCUUAACUGGGAGAGGUCAACGGAUACUGCCAAACUUGAGUAUAGGAGAGGUUACUGGAAUUCCCGGUGUGUAGCGGUGAAAUGCGCAGAGAUCGGGAGGAAACACCAAUGGCGAAAGCAGGUAACUGGACUAUUUACUGACACUCAGCUGCGAAAGCUAGGGGAGCAAACAGGAUUAGAUACCCUGGUAGUCCUAGCUGUAAACGAUGCACAUUAGACGUGAGGGGGUAUCGACCCCCUUCGUGUCGACGCUAACGCAUUAAUGUGCCGCCUGGGGAGUACGGCCGCAAGGUUGAAACUCAAAGGAAUUGACGGGGGCCCGCACAAGCGGUGGAGCAUGUGGUUUAAUUCGACCGCAACGCGAAGAACCUUACCUAGGCUUGAACUGUAGGAAGUAGAAUUAAUUAAAGUUGAGACGACCUGUUAAGUCAGGAACCUAUAGAGGUGCUGCAUGGCUGUCGUCAGCUCGUGUCGUGAGAUGUUGGGUUAAGUCCCGCAACGAGCGCAACCCCUACUCUAUGUUGCUAGGCUAUAAUGGCCAGCACUCUUAGAGAACUGCCUCGGACAACGUGGGAGGAAGGUGGGGAUGACGUCAAGUCACCAUGGCCUUUAUGUCUAGGGCUACACACGUGCUACAAUGGCCGGUACAACGAGCAGCAAAUCCGCAAGGAGGAGCAAAUCUCUAAAAGCCGGCCCCCAGUUCAGAUUGUGGGCUGCAAUUCGCCACAUGAAGGUGGAAUCGCUAGUAAUCGGGGAUCAGCUGGCCCCGGUGAAUACGUUCCCGGGCCUUGUACACACCGCCCUCACACCACGAAAGUUAGGUGCAACCAAAACCGGUGAUUCAACCCGCAAGGGAGAUAGCCGUCAAAGUUGUGACUAAUGAUUGGGGUG
rnacentral:rRNA from 1 species